rnacentral:rRNA from 1 species
ACUUAAAUUGAAGAGUUUGAUCAUGGCUCAGAUUGAACGCUGGCGGCAGGCCUAACACAUGCAAGUCGAGCGGUAGCACAGAGAGCUUGCUCUCGGGUGACGAGCGGCGGACGGGUGAGUAAUGUCUGGGAAACUGCCUGAUGGAGGGGGAUAACUACUGGAAACGGUAGCUAAUACCGCAUAACGUCGCAAGACCAAAGUGGGGGACCUUCGGGCCUCAUGCCAUCAGAUGUGCCCAGAUGGGAUUAGCUAGUAGGUGGGGUAACGGCUCACCUAGGCGACGAUCCCUAGCUGGUCUGAGAGGAUGACCAGCCACACUGGAACUGAGACACGGUCCAGACUCCUACGGGAGGCAGCAGUGGGGAAUAUUGCACAAUGGGCGCAAGCCUGAUGCAGCCAUGCCGCGUGUGUGAAGAAGGCCUUCGGGUUGUAAAGCACUUUCAGCGGGGAGGAAGGCGUUAAGGUUAAUAACCUUGGCGAUUGACGUUACCCGCAGAAGAAGCACCGGCUAACUCCGUGCCAGCAGCCGCGGUAAUUCGGAGGGUGCAUGCGUUAAUCGGAAUUACUGGGCGUAAAGCGCACGCAGGCGGUCUGUCAAGUCGGAUGUGAAAUCCCCGGGCUCAACCUGGGAACUGCAUUCGAAACUGGCAGGCUAGAGUCUUGUAGAGGGGGGUAGAAUUCCAGGUGUAGCGGUGAAAUGCGUAGAGAUCUGGAGGAAUACCGGUGGCGAAGGCGGCCCCCUGGACAAAGACUGACGCUCAGGUGCGAAAGCGUGGGGAGCAAACAGGAUUAGAUACCCUGGUAGUCCACGCCGUAAACGAUGUCGAUUUGGAGGUUGUGCCCUUGAGGCGUGGCUUCCGGAGCUAACGCGUUAAAUCGACCGCCUGGGGAGUACGGCCGCAAGGUUAAAACUCAAAUGAAUUGACGGGGGCCCGCACAAGCGGUGGAGCAUGUGGUUUAAUUCGAUGCAACGCGAAGAACCUUACCUGGUCUUGACAUCCACAGAACUUUCCAGAGAUGGAUUGGUGCCUUCGGGAACUGUGAGACAGGUGCUGCAUGGCUGUCGUCAGCUCGUGUUGUGAAAUGUUGGGUUAAGUCCCGCAACGAGCGCAACCCUUAUCCUUUGUUGCCAGCGGUUCGGCCGGGAACUCAAAGGAGACUGCCAGUGAUAAACUGGAGGAAGGUGGGGAUGACGUCAAGUCAUCAUGGCCCUUACGACCAGGGCUACACACGUGCUACAAUGGCAUAUACAAAGAGAAGCGACCUCGCGAGAGCAAGCGGACCUCAUAAAGUAUGUCGUAGUCCGGAUUGGAGUCUGCAACUCGACUCCAUGAAGUCGGAAUCGCUAGUAAUCGUAGAUCAGAAUGCUACGGUGAAUACGUUCCCGGGCCUUGUACACACCGCCCGUCACACCAUGGGAGUGGGUUGCAAAAGAAGUAGGUAGCUUAACCUUCGGGAGGGCGCUUACCACUUUGUGAUUCAUGACUGGGGUGAAGUCGUAACAAGGUAACCGUAGGGGAACCUGCGGUUGGAUCACCUCCUUACCUUAAAGAA